GGGCUCAGGAUGAACGCUAGCUACAGGCUUAACACAUGCAAGUCGAGGGGCAGCAUAAUCGAAGCUUGCUUUGAUUGAUGGCGACCGGCGCACGGGUGAGUAACGCGUAUCCAACCUUCCCCAUAGUAGGGCAUAGCCCGUAGAAAUGCGGAUUAAUACUCUAUGUUCUCCUUUGCAGGCAUCUAACGAGGAGCAAAGAUUCAUCGGUAAGGGAUGGGGAUGCGUCUGAUUAGCUUGCCGGCGGGGUAACGGCCCACCGGGGCAACGAUCAGUAGGGGUUCUGAGAGGAAGGUCCCCCACAUUGGUACUGAGACACGGACCAAACUCC
rnacentral:rRNA from 1 species